GAUAGGGGCAUAGAGAAUUUCCUGGUAAGCCUGCUGCUGUUUUUGAAAGAGGAUGAUGAAGUAAACAAGAAAGUACUUGCUGAAGACACAAGGUACUGCUCUGGGCAUGGAGACGGUGAUGACAGCUCCCCAGGGCAGCCACGCACCUCGGACUAUGCAGGGAGAGAUCUGCUUCAGGGCUUAGUAACAUGGGUUUCUUUUAAUUCGUUGAUGAUUCAAUCUGAAAUAUUUAGCUUUAAAAUUAUGAAUAUUCUUGUGCCUCAAUCAGUUUGGGCUGACAGAAUGAAGUACCAUGGACCUGGUGGCUUCACAACACACACAUUUCUUGCAGUUUUGCAGGUUGGAGUCUGACCAAGUGCCUGCUUCUUGAGGAGGGCUGAGCACAGGCAGCUGUCUGUCUAUGAGGUUUCACGCAGAGGCCACCUGGCACUGGCCUCCUCUUAUAGGGCACAAACCCCCAUGAGGGCUCUACCUCGCCUUCUCAUGGCCUCCCAGGGACCCCACCUCCAAAUCAUCGCACUGGAAUUAGGGCUUCAACAUGUCGAUCUGGGGACGCAGACACGCAGCCCAUUGCCUGUUGACAAGCGGGUGUUUCCAGAAUCUGGAAUCAUGUGAACAUAUCGGAUUCAGGGUGUGAGUGAGACUCAACCCGGCGGUCACCUGGCCUGCUGUCAAGAUCUUUUCAAGAAGAACAGACUGGAUAUUAGAAGGUUUUACUUAAGAGAGCAUAUAAUGUUUAUUGAUUUAGUAUUAAUUAAUCCUAAUUAUUAACACGAUUUGCUACGAUAGCUUACUUUUGAUACUAUACUCCUUCAUAAAAGCCAACUGUAUCACCAGCGGCUAUAAAAGUAAAUUCACAUUAUAUUAUCUGACUGUUCAAUGGAAAGAUCAUUUUCCAUAAUGAAUGUCACAGUUUUUUUUUUUAAAGAGAGAGAGAGAGAGAUAGAAUUUUUUAAUAUUUAUUUAUUUUUUUAGUUUUCAGUGGACACAACACCUUUAUUUUAUUUUUAUGUGGUGCUGAGGAUCAAACCCAGCGCCUUGCACAUGCCAGGCGAGCGCGCUACCGCUUGAGCCACAUCCCCAUCCCUGAAUGUCACAAUUUAAGAUUAAGUAACAAGCCAUAUUAUUUUUAGUGAUUAACAAUGAUUAAUGUUUGAGGAGGUAGAUAUAUUUAACCCAUAAACAUUACACAAUAUAUACAUGUAUCAAAACAUCACGAUAGCCCCAAAUGUAUAUUAUUUUUAUGUUUUAUCUGAUGGUUAAAAAACAAAUUUAAUUUAAAUUUUAAAAAUGAAUGUUUAAAUGCACGUAUGGUGUAAGACUGUACAUAAAAUGUAUAUAUGAGUUGCAGUUCACAUAGGCCAAUUUAAUUAUAAAUGAAAUGAAUUUUAUUGUCUACUUAACUGUACAUUGAAGCAAAGGAGGAUGGAGUGGAAAAUAAACCAGGCAGAAUUUAUGAUCAUUUUCUAGUGGGAGAUGAGAGGGGGGAAUAGAUAAUGAAGAAGUCAACAAAAAUCAGAAAAAACGUACCAAGAAAGGUGUGAGGUGGGGCUCUGCGGGUGUAAAGCCGUGGUGGAAGCCUCCCUCUGAGACUGCCCUGUGUAAGUGGGGACCUGAAUAUGAGAAAGCAGAGCUGCUCUGACUGUUCUGGGUUGGGAAGGAUUAGCGGAAGGAAGGCGUCCUGAGGACAGAGCAGAAGGAGACGGUGUGAGACCAGGUUAAAGGCAGAGAGGGAUCUCGUAGGUCCUGCAGGACUUUGCAUCUUAUUCUAGUCACAGUGGUCAACCACUGUCCAGGCUUAAGCAUGGAGUGGCAAGAUCCUAUUUGGUUUGAGGAAGAUCACUCAGGUGAAUGCACAGAAACAAUUAGGAGCAAGACUGGCAUUAGACACUCUCAGGGGCCUCUCGGAGUAGUGGCUUGAAUGAGGGCAGAGGCUUGAGGCAGAGGACGUCAAUACACUUGCUGAGCUGCAGGCAGGGAAUGGUGGGGUUAUGGGCUGAGCUGUGUCCCCAGAUCUAGAUGUCAAAUCUUUACUCCAAGAAUCUCAAAAUGUGACUGCAUCUGACAGAGGUAACCAGGUUGAAGUAAAUGUGUAGGGUAUGUCCAAUAAAUGUGACCUCUUCAGGAAAGGAGACGGGGACACAAGCGCACAUGUGCAAAAGACUCUGGGAGACUCAGAAGGAAGAAGAUGCCAUCUACAAGCCAUCAAGAAGUCUCAGGAGAACCAACCCUGAUGACAGCUUUACUCCAUCGAGACUCUGUAACUCUGAAAAAUACAUUUCUGUUCUUUAAGCCCCCUAUUCCUUGGUACUUUGUCAUAGCAGCACCGACUGACUAAUACAUGAGAUAAAGAAAGGAAUCUAGGAUUAUAUAUAGGUUUUUGGCCUGAGAAAUUACAUGUUUAGAGGUCUAUUUUAUUGGUUUAUUUUUCAUUCCAUCCUCCUUUGCUUCAAUGUACAGUUAAGUAGACAAUAAAAUUCAUUUCAUUUGUAAUUAAAUUUGCAUAUGUGAACUGCAACUCAUCUAUACAUUUUAAUGUACAGUUUUACACCUUCUUAACACAUGUGCAUUUAAAUAGAAUUCCCUAACAUUCAUGAAUAAGAUUGAGGAAGGAACAGUUUUGGGGUAACAUAGGGUGUUGGUGAUAGGGGUAAUUAAGAAGUAAAUUUGGCUUUUCUACAUUUGAAGUGCCUAUCCACAUGCAUAAAAAGUUUUUGAGUUGAGAGUGGUAUGUAUAAACCUGGGAAAUUCAUCCAUUUUGUUAUACAAAUGAUUCAAGUAAAUAAACUUGCAUGUUUCCGCCCAUCCCAGUCACUUGUGGAUGUAAACACUAAGGGCUGGUUAGAGGCGGGUGUCACCUCUCAGUGUCAGCAGUUUGGACUCUUGUUAUGUAUUGAAGGGAGCUAUGUGCUGCAUGAUUUCUGUCUCUAAAAGUCAACAGAACUUGAAUGGACACAUAAGGGUCAAAUAUCACCUUAAGAAGCCACUCCAAAUCAGGAGGCAAUUGCAACAUUCUGAAAACAUUUACUGGAUUGGACAUCAUGAGAUGUGGCUUUGGAUCCAAACCUGCCCUUUCUAGAUGAGUGUAAUAUGGAGUAUAAUCUCAGAUUCACAUUUUUGUGCAUUUUAUGAUGAAUUCUUAACAGCAUUUUUUCCCCUCUCCCUUUAGGGAACUUUUGGAAUUUGUUUUUGUUUUUGCCUGAUUGGGGAAUGCUGGCUAAUAUAGUUCCUGCAAAGUCUUGCACAAGAUUACCCCACAUUUCAAACUGAUUUUGGAACUCACUGGGUGUGUAUUUGUAGUUACAAAGCCUAAAGAGGCCCUACACAUUACUACUGGGGGGAUGGUGAUUUUGUGUGUGUGUGUGUGUGUGUGCACAUGCAUGUACUCUAUUGACAUAUGCCCAUGUAUUCAUGCAGAUAGAGUAUUAUAAAAUCCUUGCUAUUACCAGGGAGCCUUGUAUCAAAUUGUGUUAAACCACGGGAUCUGUGAUAUUUUGAUAGGUGCCAUUAGGGAGAACAAUGGGCCCAGGAUAUAUUCCUAGAGGGACUCACAUUUAUACUUUUUAUAUCAUCCCCAAACAAGAUUGUACAUGUGGUCAGAUUCACAAUGAUAGGAGUGAAAGAUGCCUGUCUUAAAGCUGGGUUUGUAGCUCUCUCUACCUCAAGGGAUUUUGAAUUCCUAUUUUUAUGAUAAAAC
rnacentral:lncRNA from 1 species